UGGGAACCUUCCCUAUGGUUCGGAAUAGCUCAGGGAAACUUGGGGUAAUACCGGAUAAGCCCUUCGGGGGAAAGAUUUAUCGCAUUGGAUGGGCCCGCGUCGGAUUAGCUAGUUGGUGAGGUAACGGCUCACCAAGGCAACGAUCCGUAGCUGGUCUGAGAGGAUGAUCAGCCACACUGGGACUGAGACACGGCCCAGACUCCUACGGGAGGCAG
rnacentral:rRNA from 1 species